UACAGAGGGGGCAAGCGUUAUUCGGAAUUACUGGGCGUAAAGCGUGCGCAGGCGGUUGUGCAAGACCGAUGUGAAAUCCCCGGGCUUAACCUGGGAAUGGCAUUGGUGACUGCACGGCUAGAGUGUGUCAGAGGGGGGUAGAAUUCCACGUGUAGCAGUGAAAUGCGUAGAGAUGUGGAGGAAUACCGAUGGCGAAGGCAGCCCCCUGGGAUAACACUGACGCUCAUGCACGAAAGCGUGGGGAGCAAACAGG
rnacentral:rRNA from 1 species